UACGUAGGGGGCAAGCGUUGUCCGGAAUUAUUGGGCGUAAAGAGCUCGUAGGCGGUCUGUCGCGUCGGUCGUGAAAACUUGGGGCUUAACCCUGAGCUUGCGGUCGAUACGGGCAUGACUGGAGUUCGGCAGGGGAGACUGGAAUUCCUGGUGUAGCGGUGGAAUGCGCAGAUAUCAGGAGGAACACCAAUAGCGAAGGCAGCUCGCUGGGACGGUACUGACACUGAGGCGCGAAAGCGUGGGGAGCGAACAGG
rnacentral:rRNA from 1 species